rnacentral:rRNA from 1 species
AUUUGGAAACAGAUGCUAAUACCGAAUAAAACUUAGUGUCGCAUGACACAAAGUUAAAAGGCGCUUCGGCGUCACCUAGAGAUGGAUCCGCGGUGCAUUAGUUAGUUGGUGGGGUAAAGGCCUACCAAGACAAUGAUGCAUAGCCGAGUUGAGAGACUGAUCGGCCACAUUGGGACUGAGACACGGCCCAAACUCCUACGGGAGGCUGCAGUAGGGAAUCUUCCACAAUGGGCGAAAGCCUGAUGGAGCAACGCCGCGUGUGUGAUGAAGGCUUUCGGGUCGUAAAGCACUGUUGUAUGGGAAGAACAGCUAGAAUAGGAAAUGAUUUUAGUUUGACGGUACCAUACCAGAAAGGGACGGCUAAAUACGUGCCAGCAGCCGCGGUAAUACGUAUGUCCCGAGCGUUAUCCGGAUUUAUUGGGCGUAAAGCGAGCGCAGACGGUUUAUUAAGUCUGAUGUGAAAGCCCGGAGCUCAACUCCGGAAUGGCAUUGGAAACUGGUUAACUUGAGUGCAGUAGAGGUAAGUGGAACUCCAUGUGUAGCGGUGGAAUGCGUAGAUAUAUGGAAGAACACCAGUGGCGAAGGCGGCUUACUGGACUGCAACUGACGUUGAGGCUCGAAAGUGUGGGUAGCAAACAGGAUUAGAUACCCUGGUAGUCCACACCGUAAACGAUGAACACUAGGUGUUAGGAGGUUUCCGCCUCUUAGUGCCGAAGCUAACGCAUUAAGUGUUCCGCCUGGGGAGUACGACCGCAAGGUUGAAACUCAAAGGAAUUGACGGGGACCCGCACAAGCGGUGGAGCAUGUGGUUUAAUUCGAAGCAACGCGAAGAACCUUACCAGGUCUUGACAUCCUUUGAAGCUUUUAGAGAUAGAAGUGUUCUCUUCGGAGACAAAGUGACAGGUGGUGCAUGGUCGUCGUCAGCUCGUGUCGUGAGAUGUUGGGUUAAGUCCCGCAACGAGCGCAACCCUUAUUGUUAGUUGCCAGCAUUCAGAUGGGCACUCUAGCGAGACUGCCGGUGACAAACCGGAGGAAGGCGGGGACGACGUCAGAUCAUCAUGCCCCUUAUGACCUGGGCUACACACGUGCUACAAUGGCGUAUACAACGAGUUGCCAACCCGCGAGGGUGAGCUAAUCUCUUAAAGUACGUCUCAGUUCGGAUUGUAGUCUGCAACUCGACUACAUGAAGUCGGAAUCGCUAGUAAUCGCGGAUCAGCACGCCGCGGUGAAUACGUUCCCGGGUCUUGUACACACCGCCCGUCACACCA